UACAAUUAUACACUGAUGCCACACAGCUGUGCAGUCAAUAAGAAUUUAAUUACACAAGUCACACAGCUCUUAAAUUAUGUUAAAAAUGGGGAAAAUAAAAUAAUUUGGGGAUUCCAGUGGCAAGCAUUGGUGUCUCAGUGAUACAUCACCAUGUCAUUUUCUCCGUCUUUGGUGUUUUUUUAAACCUCAGGUAUGCAUGUUAGCUGGAUUAACUGGAAAUUUUAACUUAUCCCAUGGAAAUUUUAACUUGUCCCAUUUUAGUAAAAGUGUAGAAGUGUGUGCGUUUGUGUGUGAGAUGGCUCUGCAAUGGACUGGCAUGCCCUCAAUCUGUUUCCUGCCUUGUGUCUGAUACUGCUAAGACAGACUUCAUCCAGUCCCACAUGAUCUGGAAUUACAGUUAGUAGAUUUGCAGUUUACUGUUUAAUUUUGUUAAUGCAAUCAUGGUAGACUUUUUUCAGCUAUAUUUUGAGAGAUUAUUUAAAUUAACAAGGAAUAGCCUGUGAGAUACAUUUAAUUAAAUUAAGUGAAACACUCUGAAACUUUACAUUUUAAAAUAUUUAAUGUCAAUAUAAAUGAAAUGUUAAUGAAUAUAAAAUGUUAAUAUAAAUGUCAUCAAGAAUUUUGCUUAUUAACUUCAUUCUUAUGCCAAGAUUUGAAUCCUGCAUAAAUUGAGCAGAACUAUACUUUUCUAUAUCAACAAACGACUGAAAUAAUGUUUUUAAAAAUGUAUUUAUCAAUGUUGACAAUAGAAAAAAAUCGACUAACAUUAACUUACUCUCACACUUUAAAAAAUACUAAAUAAUAUGAAUACUAAUUAAUGUCUAUUAUUAAGAAACAUUACCAUAGAUAUCACAGGUUUGAUAAUCAUGUUGAAUACAUUCUGCAAAAUUUCAGAUUUUACAGUUUUAGCUAGAAGGAAAUCGACAAGAGGGAGUACAAUCCACAGAAGGACAAGGCAUUUAAUUGGCUGAUUGACUGUCAAGGCUACAAUCACUGUAGGUUAAUGAGACCAAUAAGCAGUCAGAGGAUGGGGUGGGGCAGUCACAACAUAGAAGAAGACUUCAUGCAAAAAAAAAAGGAAGCAAGCAUGUAUCAUGCUUUGUCAGAGCUACAGAGGGUAAGAAGUGACAUUGUUAUUUCACAAUUAAAAUUAAAUUUCAUACCCGAAAAAA